GAACUUUUAAGAGAAAAAUAUAGCAAUAAUGAUAUUUUGAGUGAAAAAGACAAUUUAACUAAAUUAAGUUUACAAG
rnacentral:tRNA from 1 species